CCCUUAGAUGUCCUGGGCUGCACGCGCGCUACACUGAUGUGUCCAGUAAGCACCUAACCUCUUCCGAAAGGAACGGGUAACCUUUGCAAAGCACAUCGUUAUGGGGAUAGAUUAUUGCAAUUAUUAGUCUUGAACGAGGAAUUCCUAGUAAGCACAAGUCAUCAGCUUGUGUUGAUUACGUCCCUGCCCUUUGUACACACCGCCCGUCGCUCCUACCGAUUGAAUGUUCCGGUGAGCUCUUCGGACUGCGCGGUCUGCAGUUUCUGCGUUCCGUGCGGAAAGUUGCGCAAACCUUAACAUUUAGAGGAAGGAGAAGUCGUAACA
rnacentral:rRNA from 1 species